UACGAAGGGGGCUAGCGUUGCUCGGAAUCACUGGGCGUAAAGCGCACGUAGGCGGCUUUCUAAGUCAGGGGUGAAAUCCUGGAGCUCAACUCCAGAACUGCCUUUGAUACUGGGAAGCUCGAGUCCGGAAGAGGUGAGUGGAACUCCGAGUGUAGAGGUGAAAUUCGCAGAUAUCAGGAAGAACACCCGUGGCUAAGGCGGCUCUCUAGUACGGUACUGACGCUGAGACGCGAAAGCGUGGGGAGCGAACAGG
rnacentral:rRNA from 1 species